rnacentral:rRNA from 1 species
GACGAAGGGGGCUAGCGUUGUUCGGAAUUACUGGGCGUAAAGAGCGCGUAGGCGGUUUGGUAAGUUGGGAGUGAAAGCCCGGGGCUUAACCUCGGAAUUGCUUUCAAAACUGCCAAGCUAGAGUGUAGUAGGGGAUGAUGGAAUUCCUAGUGUAGAGGUGAAAUUCUUAGAUAUUAGGAGGAACACCGGUGGCGAAGGCGGUCAUCUGGGCUACAACUGACGCUGAGGCGCGAAAGCGUGGGGAGCAAACAGG